rnacentral:misc_RNA from 1 species
CUUUGGCAGCACAGUACGAG